rnacentral:snRNA from 10 species
AAAACCUGUCUGGGAUUUUCAUUAUUAGAAAAUUGGAGCAUGGCCCCUGCGCAAGGAUGACACGCAAAUUCGUGAAGCGUUCCAUAUUUUU